CAAGCUACUAAGUGCGAUCGGUGGAUGCCUUGGCACCAAGAGCCGAUGAAGGACGUUGUGACCUGCGAUAAGCCCUGGGGAGUUGGUGAACGAGCUGUGAUCCGGGGGUGUCCGAAUGGGGAAACCUGGAAUGUCCGGAGUUGUGUCCGGUGACCCUGCCCUGAAUGUAUAGGGGUGUGGGAGGUAACGCGGGGAAGUGAAACAUCUUAGUACCCGUAGGAAGAGAAAACAAGUGUGAUUCCGUGAGUAGUGGCGAGCGAAAGCGGAGGAGGCUAAACCGUGUGUGUGUUCAAGCCGGCAGGUGUUGCAUGUGCGGGGUUGUGGGGGCCUUGUGGUUCUGCUGCCGCAGGAUUGGCCAGUGAGAAAUGUUGCGUGAAGGUGAAGCGUUUGGGAAGGCGUACCGGAGUGGGUGAGAGUCCCGUAACUGUGAGCGUGGCACUGGUGUGGGGUUGCCCCAAGUAGCGUGGGACUCGUGGAAUUUCGCGUGAAUCUGGCGGGACCACCCGUCAAGCCUAAAUACUCCUUGGUGACCGAUAGUGGAUGAGUACCGUGAGGGAAGGGUGAAAAGUACCCCGGGAGGGGAGUGAAAUAGUACCUGAAACCGGUCGCAUGCGAGCCGUCAGAGCCUUGUGGGGUGAUGGCGUGCCUUUUGAAGAAUGAGCCUGCGAGUUAGUGAUGCGUGGCGAGGUUAACCCGUGGUGGGGGAGUCGUAGCGAAAGCGAGUCCGAAUGAGGGCGUUAGUCGCGUGUUCUAGACCCGAAGCGGUGUGAUCUAUCCAUGGCCAGGAUGAAGCGUCGGUAAGACGUCGUGGAGGUCCGAACCCACUUCAGUUAAAAAUGGAGGGGAUGAGUUGUGGAUAGGGGUGAAAGGCCAAUCAAACACCGUGAUAGCUGGUUCUCCCCGAAAUGCAUUGAGGUGCAGCGUUGCGUGGUUCUUGUUGGAGGUAGAGCACUGGAUGGUCUAGGGGGCUUAUCGGCUUACUGAAAUCAGCCAAACUCCGAAUGCUGGCAAGUGUAGCGUGGCAGUGAGACGGCGGGGGAUAAGCUUCGUCGUCGAGAGGGAAACAGCCCAGAUCAUCAGCUAAGGCCCCUAAGUGGUAACUGAGUGGGAAAGGAUGUGGAGUUGCGUAGACAACCAGGAGGUUGGCUUGGAAGCAGCCAUCCUUGAAAGAGUGCGUAAUAGCUCACUGGUCGAGGGUUUCGGCGCCGAUAAUGAUCGGGAAUAAGCAAUGUACCGAAGCUGCGGGCUGCGUAAGCAGCGGUAGGAGAGCGUUCCUGUCAGCAGAGAAGGCGUCCCGAAAGGGUCGCUGGAGCGUCAGGAAGUGAAUAUGCCGGGUUGAGUAACGAUAAAGCAGGUGAAAAUCCUGCUCGCCGAAAAUCUAAGGUUUCCUGGGGAAGGUAAAUCCGCCCAGGGUCAGCCGGGACCUAAGGUGAGGCCGAAAGGCGUAGCCGAUGGACGGCAGGUUAAUAUUCCUGCGCUACUGUGGAGAUCAAUCAUGAGUGCGGAUCGGUCAGCCCUGCGUAAGCACCAGCUUGCUGAGGCCCUUGAGGCCGCUGCAGGGGGCUCUGGUCCCGAGAAAAGCUCAUGUGGCAAAGCAGUACCCGUACCAAAACCGACACAGGUAGAUGAGGUGAAUAACCUAAGGCGCUCGAGAUAACGGAAGUGAAGGAAUUAGGCAAAUUGACCCCGUAAGUUCGCGAUAAGGGGGCCCUACCCCUCGGGGAGGGCGCAGAGAAAAGGCUCUGGCGACUGUUUAUCAAAAACAC
rnacentral:rRNA from 1 species